rnacentral:rRNA from 1 species
CGUAACGACUUCUCAACUGUCUCAACCAUAGACUCGGCGAAAUUGCACUACGAGUAAAGAUGCUCGUUACGCGCGGCAGGACGAAAAGACCCCGGGACCUUCACUAUAGCUUGGUAUUGGCGUUUGGUUCGGUUUGUGUAGGAUAGGUGGGAGACUGUGAAGCAGGCACGCCAGUGUUUGUGGAGUCAUCGUUGAAAUACCACUCUGAUCGUAUUGAACCUCUAACCUCGGACCGUAUAUCCGGUCCAGGGACAGUGCCUGGUGGGUAGUUUAACUGGGGCGGUUGCCUCCCAAAAUGUAACGGAGGCGCCCAAAGGUUCCCUCAACCUGGACGGCAAUCAGGUGUUGAGUGCAAGUGCACAAGGGAGCUUGACUGCGAGACCUACAAGUCAAGCAGGGACGAAAGUCGGGACUAGUGAUCCGGCACCUCUGAGUGGAAGGGGUGUCGCUCAACGGAUAAAAGGUACCCCGGGGAUAACAGGCUGAUCUUCCCCAAGAGUCCAUAUCGACGGGAUGGUUUGGCACCUCGAUGUCGGCUCGUCGCAUCCUGGGGCUGGAGCAGGUCCCAAGGGUUGGGCUGUUCGCCCAUUAAAGCGGCACGCGAGCUGGGUUUAGAACGUCGUGAGACAGUUCGGUCUCUAUCCGCCGCGCGCGUCAGAAACUUGAGGAAACCUGUCCCUAGUACGAGAGGACCGGGACGGACGAACCUCUGGUGUACCAGUUGUUCCACCAGGAGCACGGCUGGA